AAUGCGUCUGCUAGAGCUAGAAUUUAUAGUUUGAUUUUUGAAAGUUAUAAGACUUUUUGAUUGAAAGUUUGUAUCUUGAACUGUAUUUAUUGUGCUACUGAAAGACUAGAGAGAUUGAAAUGGCCCCAGCUAUAAAAGCAAAAAGCGUGGUCGACAUUAUAAGUAGAAAAUUUAGUGGAUGAGUAUAUCGCUAGAAAGGGUGUUAUUCUUGGUGCCUUGAAGCCAGGUAUUACCAAAUAACACAAAAAACAUGCUUGGACACAAAUUGUAGAAGCCUUAGCACAAGCAUGCCCCGAUGAACCAAAUCAUGAUGUGAAGGAGACAAAGAAGAAAUUUUGUCCCCUAAAAGGUGAUACAAUGAAUGUGUUAGUAAUUGUAUGGUGUUGAAAUAAACUUUUAUUUUGUAUUUA